rnacentral:tRNA from 1 species
ACCUGGCUGGCUCAGUUGGAAGAGCAUGCGACUGUUGAUUUUGAGGUCAUGAGUUUGAGCCCCAUGUUGGGUU